rnacentral:tRNA from 1 species
AGAGAGAUAGCAUAAGUAUAAUGUGUUUCCCUUACACGGAAAAGAUAGCAAAGAGUUUCUCUCUA